UGUUACAACAGCAAUGGCUGUUGAAAGGCUGCAGGGAGAGAAAAGGAGAUCUGAGGACAGGAAAGUGGAAUUGAUUUCAUGUUUAGCAAAAUGAGGGUUUCAGCAGAGGACCUUUUUGUGGCAAGGCUACAGAAUCAGAAGGAACGUUUGUCUGGGCAACUGGGAGAUUUACAGUUUUUCAUCCAGCCAACCAAGACAUUGGGGUUAACAUCAUCCCAAAUGGCUGGCAACGAUUGCUUGUAACUGUCAGUGUAGGACAGGAAAGGCAGGUAUAGGUUAGGGAGGGCAUCCAUCGGUGAGCUCUGACUGGAUGUGAGGACCUGUCACACUUGACCAGAGAUGAAGGCUGCAGCACAUUCCUGGAUCAGAGGACUCCAUGUUGGACACCACAGCCUGGAGAAGUCCCGUCCUGCAUGGCUGCGGUGAUGACCUCGCCCAAGAUGAACCGACCCUUCUACGACGAGGACUUUGCCCAAUAUGAACCGACCUUUUCCGCCUCUUUUCCACAGAAGUCUUCAGAUGUUGGACCUUGCCAAACUGGUCACAUGCCUCAAUGGCUGCUACGUCACUCUGCCCAACCGGACAUGGUCACCGAGAUUUUUUAAUUUUUUUUAAAUGGACUUUAACCCCCCUGUCCCCACUGACCCACAACCACACGACAAAACACUUUACAUGUGAUGCAUCACCAGACUAAAAUACAGACACUGCUACUUUCAGCCUGUAAUGUUUGACAUUGAAAACUUGUAUUU